rnacentral:rRNA from 1 species
UACGGAGGAUCCGAGCGUUAUCCGGAUUUAUUGGGUUUAAAGGGAGCGUAGAUGGGUUGUUAAGUCAGUUGUGAAAGUUUGCGGCUCAACCGUAAAAUUGCAAUUGAUACUGGCAGCCUUGAGUACAGUUGAGGUAGGCGGAAUUCGUGGUGUAGCGGUGAAAUGCUUAGAUAUCACGAAGAACUCCGAUUGCGAAGGCAGCCUACUAAACUGCCACUGACAUUGAUGCUCGAAAGUGUGGGUAUCAAACAGG